CCUUCCCAGAACAAUCUGUUAUUCUGUACAAUCUGUUGCACAUUUGCUACUCCUCCUUCGAGGUGUUAACUCCCCUCAUCUUCCCAAGACAGAGCCUGGGCCCCAAUAUACAGCAAUGAAGGCCCUCUUCCUUCUGUCAUUUGUCAUGCUCCUCAUGCUGCCAGGAUGUAUCGAAGCCAGGUAUAAGAAAUGCUGGGACAGCGUCUGCAGGAAAAAAGAAUGUUUCAGGGAGGAAGUGUACUGGGGACCCUGUAAGGGGAAACAGAUCCGAUGCUGCCUUUGGGUAAACUACUGGCUUUUCUGAGAUUCAGAAGAACAUCCGAGAGAAAUCCUCAAGUGUGGAUGCCUCUCUCUUCCUACAGCAUUGGCUCUUCCUUCGUGGCCGAUAGAAGAUGCCUUUAGGAGAUGUCCUCUGCGUUUGAGCUUGCCAAGUUACUAAACAUCCUUUCUGAAAUGAAAAAGUUAUUUCUUGGACUUUCUCCUGGCAGUUAAGACAAAAUAGAUGUCUGAAUGAACUAGCAA